rnacentral:lncRNA from 1 species
AUGGAUUCUCACUCUGUUGCCCAAGCUGGAGUGCAGUGGUGCCAUGUCGGUUCACUGCAACCUCUGCCUCCGGUUCAAGAAAUUCCCUUGCUUCAGCCUCCUGAGUAGAGUAGCUGGGACUACAGGUGUGCACCAUCAUGCCCAGCUAAUUUAUGUAUUUUUAGUAGAGACGGGGUUUCAGCAUGUUAGUCAGGCUGGUCUCGCACUCCUGACCUCAGGUGAUUGCCCGCCUUGGCCUCCCAAAGUGCUGGGAUUACAGGCGUGAGCCACUGCACCUGGCCUGAUUGCAAUUUUAAAAUUGGCAAACAAAUACACAAUUUGGAAUGGUGUUUCUGUAAUAUUUUGAUAACUGUAUUUUAACAUACUUGACUUCCUUUGUAAACCUAUAUUUUAUUGUAUGCAUUUAAAAACAUUAUUCUGGGCUAGGCUCAUGCCUGUAUUCCCAGCACUUUCGGAGGCUGAGGGAAGAUUACUUGAGCCCGGGAGUUUGAGACCAGCCUGAGCAACAUAGUGAGAACCUGGUCUCUGCAAAAUAAGUUUUUUUGUUUUUUUUGAGAUGGAAUC